GGGAAUAAAACGAAGUCCACGAGGACUUGGAUGGAUUUUUACAUGCAAACAAAGAAUAAUAAAGUGAAUAAUAAAUCUUGAUUCAAGGUGAGAGGAUGUCAAGUAGAGAAAGCAUAUAUGUUACUAUCCUUUAAUGCUAACACCGUAGAAAAAGACUACAAGGAUCAACUAAUGACUAAAUGAUUUUAAAAAAUCACGUAACCUAAUAAAAACCGACAAUGAGUAUCAAGAGAAUAAAUAAAUUUUCCAGCCAUGGAUAACAAACGGCAAGGGGACUAAAGCAUACUCUUCAAAGCUAGAAAAAUUUAAAUGAAAAUGGCAAAUUAUCAAAGAAAAAUUGCAAUUAUGAUCUUCACAUUUAGAGCUAAGAUCAGAUUCCUUGUUAACUGCUAACCCAACAUAAUAUCCAGAAGCCAACAAACCAUUUGAGCAAAUUAGUCAAUAGAUCAAAGAUUCGCAACAUCGAACAACAUGCAGGGGACAUCAAAUGAACAUAACUACCGACCGAAUCAAGGGACACAUGACUACAUAUGCUAAGACGCUUCACACAAUAAAGAAAACACCAAAGCGUAGUGGUAGCUUAGGCAGUUAAGGCUAUUAGUGAUUAAAUGGACAAGGAACUGGGCAUAUUUAUGCUGACAAAAGCAGACCCUUAUGAUUGAUAUCAUUAAGCUUAAAAUGCAAUAAAUAUUUGGACAAAGACAUUGAGGAAACUGUGUAUCAAUAAAAAAACGCUUGAGUAUUUGAACAGAAAAUUUCAGCUGACCAGAUCAGUAAAAUGUUCCUAUUUUUGCAGAAAAUUUCAGACAUGGAUAAGGGAAGGUUUUUAGCGUUUUUUUUUUCACCACUUCAAGUGAAGGGAGAAAGUAGGCAUAGACAUGCAGAGAGACUACAUCAAGCUUCAGGACAAGAUUCACAUACCAAAUCACACAUUUGACAUCAAGCGAGAAAGAAUUAAAACUAAAUAUUAUCACGUCAUUACAAACGGAGAUAGACUAAGAUGAGUUGAACAUUUUGAGAAAUAAACCAAAUGCAAUCAUCAAAAUCUAGAAAUAAGCCAAAGGUUAACAAUUUUAAAGCUAGAAAACCUUUUCAAACACAUGUACACCAAGCAAAGAGAAAUAUACUUCUAUUUAGACUCCAAAACUAAUUAACCAACAGUCCAGUACUAAAUUUUCUGCAGUAGUAACAAACCAAAGAUCAAAAGAUCACAUCGAAAACAAAAUGUUUGCCAAAAGGCUAAGUAUGACUUAUUUGGAAAACGAACAUGCAAGAUGGCAAAGGAAACUCAAACCAGACAAAACUAAUAAGGCAAAAAACUCGAUAAGUGAGACAGUAGAGCUUGAAUAAAGUCUUAAGAACACAACAAUUGAUCAUGUAAUCUCAAUUGAAUGACGACAAUGGCAGUCAAACACAAUAGCCAUUUCAACAUAGAGAUACUUCAUUCGAGUGACUAGAAUAGAGAAUGAUAUAUUCGACAAAAUGAGAUAAGUUUAUUACCUCUUAUAGUGCAGCGAUUUUGGGAUGGUUGAUGAGUUCAGAGAGACACUUCCACUAACACAAAACUUGAACGUGAAUGCUCAAUCGGAUCCUACAAUGAAACUCAAAAAUGCGAAAAAGAGAGCCUCUACAAUAUGUUCUAUGAAGGAUUAUGGCGUUGGAGUUUUCUCUCUACUUUGUUCGAGAAAAAAAAAUGUCCAACCAAAAAGAAAAUAUCUAAUAACUUGCCUUUUUCAAAAAUUUCUCCCUCUUCCUCCUCCGUUUUUGUUUUUAGAAUUAUCAGGACUAAAAUUUUCUCUCCCUUCUCCAAAAAAUCUCCUCCUCAGCAGAAGUUCAAAAGAAAAUUUAUAUAGGAACGAAAACAGGGUUUAGAAGGGGAAGAGGUGAGGGUAGAAUUAGGUAAGGCCAAGAACCAAUUUAAAUUUUGAAAACCCCAAAUCCUUUUACCAUUUCAGGAUGAAUACUUUUUCUGACGAUUCCAAACCAUUCCGAAACGGGAAAGUAGAAUGGACGACUUGGACUCAACUUCUAUGUCCUUGGCUUCGACGUGUCUUAAUCUCAUGCCACCAGAGGACAAAGGCGUGCUCCUUUUGCUGCUUGGGUCGUACGAAAUGGAAAGGAGCGGGAGGAAGAAAACAAAAAAUCGCAGUGUACUGACCUUUUUAUCCUUGCUCUUCCGUUGUACUCGCUUUCAUUGUUCACGUGUGGUACGCAUCGACACUUUCCGGGUUGUCUCGCUGCACGAGGCGUCGUUCCUCCUCCGUUCGCACCAUUUGGGACUGCUGUUGGUGUCACACUUUUUAAAUUUCUCUUUGGAAUUGGAAAAUAGGUUGGGUCAGGGCAAAUAAGGUGCGAUGGAAUUUGGGUAAUUAAAUGGAAAAAUUACUUAACUAUAUUCCUUUAAUUAUCUUAAGAAUCAUUUAUCUCUACUUAUUAUAAAAUUUUCAAAAAUUUCUUAUUCUCCCCAAUUAAAAAAAUAUGAAAGAUAAUUCUCA
rnacentral:lncRNA from 1 species